rnacentral:rRNA from 1 species
CUUUCCCUCUUUCUUUAGGCCUAACACAUGCAAGUCGAACGGCAGCACAGUAAGAGCUUGCUCUUACGGGUGGCGAGUGGCGGACGGGUGAGGAAUACAUCGGAAUCUACUUUUUCGUGGGGGAUAACGUAGGGAAACUUACGCUAAUACCGCAUACGACCUACGGGUGAAAGCAGGGGAUCUUCGGACCUUGCGCGAUUGAAUGAGCCGAUGUCGGAUUAGCUAGUUGGCGGGGUAAAGGCCCACCAAGGCGACGAUCCGUAGCUGGUCUGAGAGGAUGAUCAGCCACACUGGAACUGAGACACGGUCCAGACUCCUACGGGGGGCAGCAGUGGGGAAUAUUGGACAAUGGGCGCAAGCCUGAUCCAGCCAUACCGCGUGGGUGAAGAAGGCCUUCGGGUUGUAAAGCCCUUUUGUUGGGAAAGAAAAGCAGCAGGUUAAUACCCCGCUGUUCUGACGGUACCCAAAGAAUAAGCACCGGCUAACUUCGUG